rnacentral:rRNA from 1 species
ACCGGUUAUCCGGGAUUUAUUGCGGCGUAAGCGAGCGCAGGCGGUCUUUUAAGUCUAAUGUGAAAGCCUUCGGCUCAACCGAAGAAGUGCAUUGGAAACUGGGAGACUUGAGUGCAGAAGAGGACAGUGGAACUCCAUGUGUAGCGGUGAAAUGCGUAGAUAUAUGGAAGAACACCAGUGGCGAAGGCGGCUGUCUGGUCUGUAACUGACGCUGAGGCUCGAAAGCAUGGGUAGCGAACAGGAUUAGAUACCCUGGUAGUCCAUGCCGUAAACGAUGAUUACUAAGUGUUGGAGGGUUUCCGCCCUUCAGUGCUGCAGCUAACGCAUUAAGUAAUCCGCCUGGGGAGUACGACCGCAAGGUUGAAACUCAAAAGAAUUGACGGGGGCCCGCACAAGCGGUGGAGCAUGUGGUUUAAUUCGAAGCUACGCGAAGAACCUUACCAGGUCUUGACAUCUUCUGCCAACCUAAGAGAUUAGGCGUUCCCUUCGGGGACAGAAUGACAGGUGGUGCAUGGUUGUCGUCAGCUCGUGUCGUGAGAUGUUGGGUUAAGUCCCGCAACGAGCGCAACCCUUAUUACUAGUUGCCAGCAUUCAGUUGGGCACUCUAGUGAGACUGCCGGUGACAAACCGGAGGAAGGUGGGGACGACGUCAAAUCAUCAUGCCCCUUAUGACCUGGGCUACACACGUGCUACAAUGGAUGGUACAACGAGUCGCGAAACCGCGAGGUUUAGCUAAUCUCUUAAAACCAUUCUCAGUUCGGACUGUAGGCUGCAACUCGCCUACACGAAGUCGGAAUCGCUAGUAAUCGCGGAUCACAUGCCGCGGGGGAAAUACGUUCCCCGGGCCUUGUACACACCGCCCGUCACACCAUGGAGAGUUUGUAACACCCAAAGCCGGUGGGGUAACCUUUUAGGAGCUAGCCGUCUAAGGUGGGACAGAUGAUUAAGGUGAUCUAGAGGGAGGGCCCCCCAAAAAAAAAAAAAAGAGGA